AUUGAAGAAUAAUGGUUAGUUUUUGAAUACUAAGAAGUGAAUCUUUGGAAUAAAUCAGAGAUUGAUUUAUGAAUUAUUGAUUAUAAAAUUGGAGUAUUAAGUGAUUGAAUUAUAUGAGAAGUUAUUUGAAGAUUGAUUAUAGAUGGAAGAUUAUGAUUGGGAUUUAUUGAAAGUUGUGUGUGUGUGUUUUGACAGAGGAAGUCUAUAAUUACAAGAAUUUUGUGAAUUCAGAUUGGUUGGAAAGAAGUCUGUUAUUCCUGGUGUUAGAUGGAAUUUAUUGAAUUUUGAACGGUCUUUUGAGAGUAAAGGAUUGCACAUUGUGGUUAUUAGUUGAUGAAGGAGUAUUGUUACUGGGAAGAAGUAUUGUAGUAUUUCUCAGUGUUUUAGUGGUUCAAAAUACAAUUAAUUGUGUGAUCCGAACAACUGAAACUCAUGCGCUUAGUCUUUCCCUAUGUUUGAAUUCUCCUAUAUAAGUUUAUUCUGGAAAGAAUUAUAGAAUAAGUAAAAUGAUAAUUAUUUUGUAUUUAUAAGAUUCUUUACUGGCUCCCAUGUAUGUUCACUAAUAUCUUAUUUGUGCCAAUGGACAAGAUAUUCCAAUUUAUUUCAGCACCGCCUUA
rnacentral:lncRNA from 1 species